CUAACGAUUGAUCUAGUUACUUAGAAUGAUGAAGAUUAUAAAUUAAGAAAGAUUUUUUUAAAUCAAGUAUCGAAAAAUAAUUAAUGUAGAAUAUAAAAUCAAGAUAUAUUGAGAAAUAAUGACAAAAUAUAGAAAGUCUUAACAAAAAUUAGUGCCAGCAGUUGCGGCUAAACUAUGAAGACAAACGUUAAUCGUUAAAGGCUUAAAGGAUCCGUAGUAUUCCACCUGAUAUUGGUGGUAAAGUUAAAAUAAAAGAAUAAAGAAAAAUUAUAAGGAUGGAUGAUAUCAACCGAGAAUAAUUAGACAAACGAAGUUGAAGAAAUUAUUCAAAUUUUAACUAAUAUUGAGGGAUGAAGGCAUGAGUAGCAAAACGGAUUAGAUACCCGAGUAGUUCAUGCAGUAAACAAUGAGUACUAAAAAAAAGUGAAGACAAAGUAUUCCGCCAGGUGAG
rnacentral:rRNA from 1 species